GAGAGAUUGCACCACUGCAUUCUAGUGUGGGUGUCAGGAGUGAGACCCUGUCUCAGAAAAAAAGUAAGUUAAAUUAAUUUUUGGUAUAUCUUGCCAUAUUGGUAGAUGCCCACCAAGGAGAGUUCUACGUGUGUUGGUGGGAUGAACAGGCAAGAUGAAAAAAGCAAGAUAAAAAGUAGGCAAGAUAAAAAGAAAGCCCGACACCACGAACUUGCUCUGGCUUUGCAUUCAACUAUCAUGUGUCUUGGGAUCCCAAAGAUAUUUUUUUUGUGGAUUCUUCCAGCUACAAAAGAGAAAUGUAUAUCUCAGCUAGUGUACCCUAAAAUUCCAGUAUUCUGUCCCGUAUCCUAAUGGAUUUAUUCCUAGUUGUCAAACUAUGUGUCACAAUUUUUGGUCUCAGAAAGUAGUUCAUAUAAGCCCAGAUGUUGUCUACUGAGAGUGAACUUAAGACUGUUACAGAUGAAGGAAACAAAGGAAAUUACCAUUCACUGGGUAUUCCUUACGUGCCAGGCACUUUGCAUAUGUUCAGUAAGUGUGAGAAGGAUUAUAGCAUAGAAAAUAUCUGAUUUUAAGUUUGGCUUGAUAAUACCUAAUUCAUUUAACACAGUUAUUGUUGUUUUCUCCCUCCCUACUUUGGGUGCCACCUGAGACAUAGUUCCUGCCCAGAAAGGACUCUGGUUUAAUCAGGAAGGCAGACACAAAAUAUGAUGUGACUUUUACCACAUAAUAGUAAGGAUACCUAAUAUUUGCUGUGCACAGAAUGUUUCACAUGCAUUUUUUAUUAAGCAUUCAUAAGACUUGUUUAAAAAGAUACAAUCCCCAUCUUACAGAUGAGAACUAUGAGGCCUGAGGAGAUUAAAUUAUUCACCCCAAGGUACCUAGUGAAGUAUCUGAGACUUCAGAGCCCCUGCUUUAUUAAAUAAUUAAUUUCUAUCCUGUCUCUAGCUCUCUGGAUAGUGACAAAUCUCAAAUGCUAAUGGUGGAAGGCUAAGGCAGUGUAAUGAUUUAUAACAUAUAUAAUCUUUUGUGUAAAAGAAUGAAGACUAUUUUUGAAGUGUCAUCUGAGCCUCUUCUGCAUGUAUUAGGGUGGUUUUGGACACAAAGUAGAAUGAUUCAUUGUGGAAUAGGUUCCUGAGAUGUCUGCUGUGGCUCAGAUUCAGGAUUAUUCCACUAUUUUUCAAGUAAGUUCUUGAAACAUAGUUCACAAAUCUCCCUUGUUUUCUCCCUUUAUGUCCCUUUUUCUCUACAACAUUGUUAGUGAUUUUGCUAUGUUACAUUCAUAAUAGUUCCGAGUGCCUGCUUCCAGAGCUUCAGUUGAUUCUGUGGCAUUGCUGCUAGAUCAGGCCUUCUGAAUGUGGCCUUUUGCUGAGGAGUUCCCUUCUGAUAAGGAUUCUUUUGAUCAGGGUAGGAGUGGUAUGAGAUGCAGAGUUUAGGCUGAACUCUCAUCCCCUUGACCUCUGCCCCUAUUUGAGUUUAUACUGACUUGGUAGCAACUCCCUAUGGAGCCAAGAGUUUAGCACUUGUUUACAAUUGAUGAAAAGAUAGUUGCAUUCAAAGGCGGUUGUUGGGUCCUUGGAUAGUCAUGGAUGUCUGCCACUAUCUCUGGUGGGUGAAGGGAUUGCUUGAAUAUCUAAAUCUGGAGAUUUUAAUGAAUGACUGAGAAGAAAUGAGAAGAAGUUCUGAGGCUAGUUAGGUUCUGCAAUUUUUCUUUCCAUGGGAGCAGUAUUGCAGUAACAUUUUCAGAUGAGACAAAGACUUUUAAUAAACAUUUGUUUUAUUAAAAAAAAAAGGCUGAAAGAGAUUGCUUAAAUUCAGUACUUGAUAACAAGGGAGUACAUGGGAAUUCUUCUCUUCCUUUUUUGAUCUCUUGCCAAAGAGAAAACUUUCUGUGUUAGGCAAACGUAUCAGUAAUGGGGGGGGAUACCCUAGAUUAAAGCCACCCUCUUCAAAGUUGUACAUAGUUUUACAAAUUAACAUUUUUUUCUAAAUAGCUCAUGUAUUCUAAACAUGCUGAGACUAUAACAACUCAGUUCUAAAUGAGGCCCUUUCUGGGUACUCUUUGGUCAACCAGGACCACUCUUUGCUUCUUUACCCGAAGUUACUUUGUUUUUGUUUUAUUUUGGUCCAGUAUUUGUCAUAGAUAUGAUCUGAAAGAAAAGAUAAGCCUCUCUCUUUGAAGACAGCUGACAGUCACUGUGAACCAAAAUUGUAUGUGCUUUGUUGGUAAGCAUAAGAAAAUCAAAACUGCAGAGUAAGAUUCAAAGUGAAAAUACAGUGUUAAAGAUCUUUUUCAUUUGUUAGUACAAAAUUCCAUGUCCUAAGUGUGGUCUGCCCUAUAGAUGUAUUUUGUUGACUUCCAGGAUGUUUAAAUAAAAUCAUGUUAGUUGUCAACAUUUAAAAUGUUCAAGAUGGCUGGGCGUGGUGGCUCACGCCUGUAAUCCCAGUACUUUGGGAGGCUGAGGUGGGUGGAUCACCUGAGGUCAGGAGUUCGAGACCAGCCUGGCCAACAUGGUGAAACGCCAUCUCUAGUAAAAAUACUAAAUUACCUGGGUGUGGUGGCGCAUGCUUGUAAUCCCAGCUACUUAGGAGGCUGAUAGAGGCAGGAGAAUUGCUUGAACCUGGGAGGUGGAGGCCACAGUGAGCCGAGAUUGCAUCAUUGCACUCCAGCCUGGGCGACAAGAGCAAAACUCCAUUUCAAAAAAAAACCCAAAAACAUGCAAGAGUUUCAAAAAACUUUGGAUUUCUGGCUUUCUUGAUAAAUUGUAAUAUCUAACAUUGAGCUCAGAGUUUUAUAUGGCAUCUGUUGGCUGGAACAGAGUAGUGGCUGCCUUCUUUAUAUGGAUUGAUUGAUUGGACACAUGGUCUUGCUUUGUCACCCAGGCUGGAGUGUAGUAGCGCUAUCAUGGCUCACUGCAGCCUUGACCUCCUGGACUCAAGCAAUUCUUCCCACCUCAGUCUCUUGAGUAGCUGAGACAAUAGGCACGCACUACCGCGGUGGGCUAAUUUUUGUGUUUUUUGUAGAGAUGGGGUUUCACCAUGUUGCUUAGGCUGGUCUCCAACUCCUGGGCUCAAGCAGUCUGGGCACCUCGGCUUCCCAGAGUGCUGAGAUUAGGCUUCCCAGAGUGCUGAGAUUACAGGUGUGAGCCACGGCGCUCAGCCCGCUGCCUUCUUUAAAUGAGCAUGUACUCUCAGGUUUUCACAGAACGUUGGUAGCCUCCUUUACCCAUUUAUGUUUCCUGCUCGUCUUCUAUGUAGGCAUUUGAGUUUUCAGCUCCUACAUUAAAUAAUUAUAAUUUUUAGGGAUGAUGAGAGGGUGGGAAAAUGGGAACUCUUAAAAAUGUAAUCUAAUAUCUAUCAAAACUGAUAAUGUGCAGGUUAUUUUUGCAGACUUGACAGUUUAAAAUUUAAAAAUAUAAAAUUUAAAAUUAUAGGCCAGGCGAGGUGGCUCACUCCUUUCAUCCCAGCACUUUGUAGAUCCCUUGAGCCCAGGUGUUUGAGACCAGCCUGGGCAACAUGGCAAAACCUCAUCUCUACAAAAUAUAUACAUAAAUUAGCUGGGUGUGGUGGCACAUGCCUGUAGUCCCAGCUACUUGGGAGGAUCACUUGAGCCUGGGAAGUCGAGACUACAGUGAGUUGUGAUCACACCACUGCACUCCAGCCUGGGCAACAGAGUGAAACCCUGUCUCCACCCUCCCCCUGACAAAAGAAAAUUUAGAUUUAACAAUUCAUAUGUCUAAGAAUUUAUCCUAAAUACUUGACAGUUAUGAAAAAUGUAUGUUUACAGAUGUUUCUUUUAGCAUUUAUAAUAGUAAAAAAAUGGGAUAACUAGGCGUGCUGGUGCAUGGCUGUCAUCCCAGCUACUGGGGAUGCUGAGGUAGGAGGAUCGCUUGAGCCCAGGAGGCGGAGGCUGCAGUGAGCCAAGAUCGCGCCACUGUACUCCAGCCUGGGCAGCAGAACGAGACCCUGUCUUUAAAAAAAAAAAAAAAAGUUACAAUUUAAGUUUAAUAGGGGAUUCGAUAAAUGGAUUGUGGUUAUUCAUGCAGUAGGAUGCUGUAGACUUAGGAGAAGGCAAAUUUUUAGUCUGGAGGGUGAUACAAUGUUAAUAGUGGUGUUUUUGGGAAAAUGAGAUUACAGGAUAUCUUUCAUUAUCUCUGAGUUUUCUGUUUUUAAGAACAUUGCAUUAUUAAGAAAAAAGACAUGCAUUUAAAAAAUUCUCUCUCAUUUUAGCUGCCAAAUUUCCAUGGCUAUUCUGCCAAAUUAAGCCACAUAGGUUCUGGCUUCCACUUAAAGUACAGAUUUUACAUUCAGAAUUCUCUUGUCUUGAAAUUAUUCUAGGGAAGAGGGGGGGAAUCAGAGUCCUCAAGUAUCAGGAACCAUCUUUGAAGCCUAAGAAUAAAGUAAAAGCCUUCUACAGCAUUUUCAGGCUGCAACCCUGCUUCCAUUCACUAGUAAAGCCAUCAGAAUUUGCCUCCUUUUCAGUGUCAGGCCUGAGGCUUGAGCCAGCACUAUUGACAAUGGAGGGAGCUUCUCAUAUAAAUUGGGCUAUCCUGACAGUUGCAGGGAUACCUGCUGAAAGUGACCCUAAUGAAAUGCAUGGGUGUGUGGUACAGUGGAAAAAACAUGAAUGAAAAUUCACAUCCUGGCCUUCCUGCUUUCCUGCUGAGUAGCAUAGGCAACGUGUGAAGCUCAGUUUGUUCAUCUUUGAAACAGUAGUCAUUCUUGUUAAAUGUUGUUUUAAAAAAUAAGUGAGAUAACAUAUAUGAAUUGCCCAGCAGUUAGCUGCUCUAGUCAUGCAUGUUUCGAACUCUGUGGAAAUACAAGAUAAAAGGUUUCUAAUUUCUUUUUGUUAAUAUUUGAUGAGCAUUUACUGUAUGUUAAUGACUUUAAAACAUUUAUCUCAUUUACUCUUCCUGGCAGCUGUGCAAGGUUAUUCUCAACUCUUGUUCUCCCCAUUUUACAGAUGAGGAAACUGACAGUUUAACACUUGGCCAAGGUCACACAGCUGAACUUGCUGUUGAUAUCUGGGAGUAGAACCAUCACUGCAGAGCCAAAGUCAAUAUGUAAAUUUCUUCUACUUGUUUGCCUAUAAUAAUAGCAGAGAUACCAUGAGAUAUUGAAACCCACAUGUCUCCAACAUGGGGAUGUGACUACCACUGGAUGGAAGAUGCUCGAGGAAUCCCUGGCUGCUCUCUGGGGAGGAAUUUAUUUUAAUUGCCAGUGAGAAGGGUCUCUCUCUGGCCCAGGCUGGAGUGCAGUGGCGUGA